rnacentral:tRNA from 1 species
GAAAGUGUGGAGUAGUGGUUUGAAUAUUGGACUAUGACUCUGGAGACCAGGGUUCAAUUCCCAGCUCAGCCA